rnacentral:rRNA from 1 species
UACGAAGGGUGCAAACGUUGCUCGGAAUCAUUGGGCGUAAAGCGUCCGCAGGUGGCAAUGCAAGUCUGCUGUUAAAGAGUCUAGCUCAACUAGAUAAAAGCAGUGGAAACUACAUAGCUAGAGUACGUUCGGGGCAGAGGGAAUUCCUGGUGUAGCGGUGAAAUGCGUAGAGAUCAGGAAGAACACCAGUGGCGAAGGCGCUCUGCUAGGCCGUAACUGACACUGAGGGACGAAAGCUAGGGGAGCGAAUGGG